GGGGCGGCAUGGCUCAGGAGGUAGAGUGGCUAGGCUACGAAUCGGAAGGUUCCUGGUUCGAUCCCCGGCUGCUCCA